UACGAAGGGGGCGAGCGUUGUCCGGAUUUAUUGGGCGUAAAGAGCGUGUAGGCGGCUUUGCAAGUCCGUUGUGAAAACUCGAGGCUCAACCUCGAGACGCCGGUGGAAACUGCAAAGCUAGAGUCCGGGAGAGGAGAGUGGAAUUCCUGGUGUAGCGGUGGAAUGCGCAGAUAUCAGGAAGAACACCCGUGGCGAAGGCGGCUCUCUGGAACGCAACUGACGCUGAGACGCGAAAGCGUGGGGAGCGAACAGG
rnacentral:rRNA from 1 species